rnacentral:tRNA from 1 species
AGGGAGGUAGCUCAGUGAUAGAAUUCAUGUUUCAUGUGUAUGAAACCCUGGGUUUGAUCCCUGCCUCCCCA